GUUGAACGCUGGCGGCAGGCCUAACACAUGCAAGUCGAGCGGAUGACUUGAGCUUGCACCUUGAUUCAGCGGCGGACGGGUGAGGAAGGCCUAGGAAUCUGCCUGGUAGUGAGGGACAAAGCUUCGAAAGGAACGCUAAUACCGCAUACGUCCUAAGGGAGAAAGCAGGGAACCUUCGGGCCUUUCGCUAUCAGAUGAGCCUAGGUCGGAUUAGCUAGUUGGUGAGGUAAUGGCUCACCAAGGCGACGAUUCGUAACUGGUCUGAGAGGAUGAUCAGUCACACUGGAACUGAGACACGGUCCAGACUCCUACGGGAGGCAGCAGUAGGGAAUAUUGGACAAUGGGCGAAAGCCUGAUCCAGCAAUGCCGCGUGUGUGAAGAAGGUCUUCGGAUUGUAAAGCACUUUAGGUUGGGAGGAAGGACAGUAAGUUAAUAUCUUGCUCUUUUGACGUUACCGAAAGAAUAAGCACCGGCUAACUCUGUGCCAGCAGCCGCCGUAACAC
rnacentral:rRNA from 1 species